UACAGAGGGUGCGAGCGUUGUCCGGAAUCACUGGGCGUAAAGGGCGCGUAGGCGGCUUGAUAAGCGUGCGGUGAAAGCCCGGGGCUCAACCCCGGGUCGGCCGUGCGAACUGUCGAGCUGGAGCACUGUAGAGGCAGGUGGAAUUCCGGGUGUAGCGGUGGAAUGCGUAGAGAUCCGGAAGAACACCGGUGGCGAAGGCGGCCUGCUGGGCAGUGGCUGACGCUAAGGCGCGACAGCGUGGGGAGCAAACAGG
rnacentral:rRNA from 1 species